GUCUUUCUCCCUCCCUCUCUUUUUUCCUCUUCCAUCACCCAUGGAAGCUCGAUCGGAGAGUAAAUUAGAGUCCAAUCCCUCUCAAGUACUCUUACGAUUCCAAUCCAAGAAAUCCCAACAAACAGAGCUAUGUUGUUUCUAAUGACAGCUUAUGUUGUUCUUCCAAUGAUCUCAUUCAAUGUGUACAAUGUUUAUAAGGGUGUUCAGGCAAGGAAAUGAAGCAUGCUAUUGGCUUUGGCAAUGGUAAACCUGUUACUACUGAAUGCUUCAUUUGUUUUUUAUUUUUAUUUAUUUUUCAAGUUACUUAAUCGAUGUCGUCAUUGACUUGGUGGGAGUUGUGGUGUGGUAUGUAACUAUCUUGGCUGUUUGUUUUUUACAUGCUUAGCUUGAGAAUCUUAUUUGACCAUAUUUCUUUCAUUCUACUUCUUAUGUCUUGUGUGGGGAUUAUUUGUCUCCAUAUGAUAUAACUGGGAACUAUCCACAUUUGGUUAUAGUGGGAACUGGACUCGCAUUUGGGUUUCUUGUGAUGGUUUUUGACGUAGAUGGUUUGGAGGACUAAAUGUAUAUGCAAGAGUUGUGAUCCUUGUACCAUAUCCCACACUUGCAGUGGAUUUUACUUUACUUAUUGGUGAUUGGUACAAGACCAGCCAUAAGGCAUUGCAGCAAUUUUUGGAUUCAGGGAAAGCUCUUUCCUUUCCUGAUGGCAUCCAUAUAAAUGGGAAAACUCAAUCUACCUGUAGUGGUGAUCAAGGAAAAACUUACAUGUUCAGGAUUUCAAAUGUCGGCUUGUUGACCUCCAUUAACUUUUCAAAAGUUUACUAUCAUUCCCAGAGUUUAUACGAAUAUAAUGGUUUUCGUGUGAUUCUCUGUUUUGUAUGGAAUUAUUAUUUUAGAUUGGAAUAUACUUAGUUUGUAUGGAAUUUAACAUUAAAAGUUAUUCCUUUUUGGAUGAUUGGAAUUGAAAU